ACUUGUUGUUCACCAUUCAUCAUAGAGUUCAGUACAAAAUGCACCGUAGCGUGGAACAACAUCGACGAACAGACGGCCAUUAAAUAUAUUACCCCGAGUCUGUAGGUCGGUGAUAAAGGCGGGAGCUGACCGGAAACUUACCAGACGGUUGAGCGACUGAGGGAUAAAAUGAGCAGAGAGGAAGAAGGUGUCGCCUCUUCGUGGACCGGCACCGCCAUGUUGACAAUCUUGACAAGCUGCAUGGAGGAGAAAGACUUUCCCGCUCCGGCUUUAAUGGCCUCCAAGAUCUGUUGUUCUCGCUGGUCCCGAUGGCUGAUGUAAUGUUGGAUCUUUGAACCAGCGUCCUGAACCACCGGACCGUGACCUGCAUACAGCAGAGCUUCCCUCAUCUGACCUCAACUUCCUGAACCCGGAUCCUAAUGGCGUCAUUGCUUUCAACUGGCCCUCCGUGAAUAAAUAAAGGAUGAAUGGA